rnacentral:rRNA from 1 species
GGUUAAGUUAGAAAGGGCGCACGGUGGAUGCCUUGGCACUAGGAGCCGAAGAAGGACGGGACUAACACCGAUAUGCUUUGGGGAGCUGUACGUAAGCGUUGAUCCAGAGAUUUCCGAAUGGGGGAACCCACUAUCUUUAGUCGGAUAGUAUCCUUACGUGAAUACAUAGCGUGAGGAAGGCAGACCCAGGGAACUGAAACAUCUAAGUACCUGGAGGAAGAGAAAGAAAAAUCGAUUGCCUGAGUAGCGGCGAGCGAAACGGAAAGAGCCCAAACCAAGAAGCUUGCUUCUUGGGGUUGUAGGACACUCUAUACGGAGUUACAAAAGAAAGUUAUAAAUGAAGCGGUCUGGAAAGGCCCGCCAAAGACGGUAACAGCCCGGUAGUUGAAAUGGCUUUCCCUCCAGAGUGGAUCCUGAGUACGGCGGAACACGUGAAAUUCCGUCGGAAUCCGGGAGGACCAUCUCCCAAGGCUAAAUACUCCCUAGUGACCGAUAGUGAACCAGUACCGUGAGGGAAAGGUGAAAAGCACCCCGGAAGGGGAGUGAAACAGUUCCUGAAACCGUGUGCCUACAAGUAGUUAGAGCCCGUUAAUGGGUGAUAGCGUGCCUUUUGUAGAAUGAACCGGCGAGUUACGAUUUGUUGCAAGGUUAAGCGGAAAAAGCGGAGCCGUAGCGAAAGCGAGUCUGAAUAGGGCGCAUAAGUAACAGGUCGUAGACCCGAAACCAGGUGAUCUACCCAUGUCCAGGAUGAAGGUAAGGUAAUACUUACUGGAGGUCCGAACCCACGCACGUUGAAAAGUGCGGGGAUGAGGUGUGGGUAGCGGAGAAAUUCCAAUCGAACUUGGAGAUAGCUGGUUCUCUCCGAAAUAGCUUUAGGGCUAGCCUCGAGGUAAAGAGUCAUGGAGGUAGAGCACUGUUUGGACUAGGGGCCCUUCUCGGGUUACCGAAUUCAGAUAAACUCCGAAUGCCAUGUACUUAUACUCGGGAGUCAGACUGCGAGUGAUAAGAUCCGUAGUCGAAAGGGAAACAGCCCAGACCACCAGUUAAGGUCCCCAAAUAUAUGUUAAGUGGAAAAGGAUGUGGGGUUGCUUAGACAACCAGGAUGUUGGCUUAGAAGCAGCCACCAUUGAAAGAGUGCGUAAUAGCUCACUGGUCGAGUGACCCCGCGCCGAAAAUGUACCGGGGCUAAACAUAUUACCGAAACUGUGGAUGAACCUCUUUAGAGGUUCGUGGUAGGAGAGCGUUCUAAGGGCGGUGAAGUCAGACCGGA